UACGUAGGGGGCAAGCGUUGUCCGGAUUUAUUGGGCGUAAAGAGCGUGUAGGCGGCCAGACAGGUCCGUUGUGAAAACUAGAGGCUUAACCUCUAGACGUCGAUGGAAACCGUCUGGCUAGAGUCCGGAAGAGGAGAAUGGAAUUCCUGGUGUAGCGGUGAAAUGCGCAGAUAUCAGGAAGAACACCCGUGGCUAAGGCGGUUCUCUAGUACGGUACUGACGCUGAGACGCGAAGCGUGGGGAGCGAACAGG
rnacentral:rRNA from 1 species